rnacentral:lncRNA from 1 species
GGUAGCACUCUUAACCUGCGGUUCAAAUUCCUUUGUGAUGUUUGAGGCUGGUCCAGACCCACCAAUGGGACGGGGAGAAGAGCAAGCGGUGGGCGGGGGCGCUGGCAGGGGAGGAGAGGGAGCCUUGGGGAGAAACCUGGGGGAGGCAGGGCUGAGGGCAUAGGGCGUUGAGUGAUUUUUGAGGAAAGGCUCUAGAGAAGCGCCGCGUUAAAGUAGGGAGGAGGGCCCCCCGAAACUGGCUGCCCCGGGGCAGGGCCGGUUGACCCGCGCCUGGGAGGAGCCCCGCGUCCCGUCGCGCCGACCCUGGGCUGGCUGCGUGUGCGUCGGGAGUCGAGCCGCCGUACGCACCAGGAAGUGACUCCCAGCGGCAGAGAUCCACGCUGUCCGCUGGCUUUUUCGUUUGCCGCCUCAGGUAUCACCAACUGUGAAUUCCACACAGGUUGAGCAGAGAAGAUUUUACCACAGCUGCUACAGUCAAAGGAAAAUUGGCAGUUCAUUGUUGCUGUGGUGAGCCCAGCCCAGGCAGGACUGCAUAGGAAUGCAUAGCUUUUCUGUUACAGAACUCAUUGGGUAUUCUCAUGAUGUCCACUAUCUUUUUUUUUAAGAUUUUAUUAUUUAUUUAUUCAUAAGAGACAGAGAGAGAGGUAGAGUCAUAGGGAGAAGCAGGCUCCAUGGGGGGAGGCCAAUGUAGGACUUAAUCCCAGGACCCUGGAAUCACACCCUGAACUGAAGGCAGAUGCUCAACCACUGAGCCACCCAGGCGUCCUGAUGUCCACCAUCUUUAGUCCAUUACUCCCAUACAAUCCUAAGGGAGCUCCCAGUGAGCUGGCUCUGAACCUACUUCUCCUCUUUUCCUAACCAAUCCUAGGUGCUAGCCAGUUGGUAGUUUCUGCUAACCCACGAUGGUUUAAUUAUAUUAAUAGCAAUGUGUUUCUUCCUUCAGACUAUCAGGUGGUUCAAGCCAUUCAAAACUGCAGGGCUAUCCGCACGCAGAUUUUUAUUUCCUGCAAGCCCCAUGGUGAAACCACAAGGAACAUCAUUGAGACUAUGCUGUCCUCCAGACUCAGCUAAGAAGCUCUUUGGUGAGUCUUUUGUUCUGAGAAAAGCUGUGCCUGUUGAUCUGUUCUCCCACACCAUGCACUGCAAGCUGGUGCUCCUCCUCACUUGCGAAUCAGCCUCCUAUGAUACUGCAGGCUCUUUAUUAAGGC